UCGGGCGUGGUGUACGGCACACGGCCGGAUUUCGUGGACUUGCUAGGUCGUUUCCACCGGCAGUACGGGGUUCGAUUCCCCGCGCCCGAA